rnacentral:rRNA from 1 species
UACGUAGGUGGCAAGCGUUGUCCGGAUUUACUGGGCGUAAAAAGCGCGCAGGCGGUCGUUCAAGUCGCGUGUGAAAGCCCCCGGCUCAACUGGGGAGGGUCACGCGAUACUGAUCGACUCGAAGGCAGGAGAGGGAAGUGGAAUUCCCGGUGUAGUGGUGAAAUGCGUAGAUAUCGUAAGGAAGACCAGUGGCGAAGGCGAAUCUCUGGACAGUUACUGACACUGAGGCACGAAGGCCAGGGGAGCAAACGGG